rnacentral:rRNA from 1 species
CCCUUAGAUGUUCUGGGCCGCACACGCGCUACACUGAAGGAGGCAGCGUGUACUCCUGGAUCGAAAGAUUUGGGUAACCCGCGAAUCUCCUUCGUGCUAGGGAUUGAGGUUUGCAAUUAUCCUUCAUGAACGAGGAAUUCCCAGUAAGUGCAAGUCAUAAGCUUGCGCUGACUACGUCCCUGCCCUUUGUACACACCGCCCGUCGCUCCUACCGAUUGAGUGAUUCGGUGAAUAAUUCGGACUGCAGCAAUGUUUGGAUCCCGAACGUUGCAGCGGAAAGUUUAGUGAACCUCAUCACUUAGAGGAAGGAGAAGUCGUAACA